CUAAGCCGAGGCCGAAAGGCGUAGGUGAUGGACAACAGGUUGAUAUUCCUGUACCACCAAUAACCGUUUGAGAAAUGGGAUGACACAGUAGGAUAAGCUAACCGCACUGUUGGUUAUGUGCGGGCAAGUAUUGAGGCAGUUCCGAUAGGCAAAUCCGUCGGAAUAAUGCUGGGGUACGAUGCGGAGCGAAAUUUAGUAGCGAAGUAGCUGAUUUCACACUGUCGAGAAAAGUCUCUAUCGAGGUUAAAGGUGCCUGUACCGCAAACCGACACAGGUGGGUGAGGAGAGUAUCCUAAGGCCAGCGAGAGAACUGUUGUUAAGGAACUCGGCAAAAUGACCCCGUAACUCAGGGAGAAGGGGUGCCUUCGAAAGAAGGCCGCAGAGAAUAGGCCCAAGCGACUGUUUACCAAAAACAUAGGUUUCUGCUAAGUCGCAAGACGAUGUAUAGGAGCUGACGCCUGCCCGGUGCUGGAAGGUUAAGGGGAUCUGUUAGAGUAAUCGAAGCAGUGAACUUAAGCCCCAGUAAACGGCGGCCGUAACGAUAACGGUCCUAAGGUAGCGAAAUUCCUUGUCGGGUAAGCUCCGACCCGCACGAAAGGCGUAACGAUUUGGGCACUGUCUCAACAACAGACUCGGUGAAAUUGUAAUACCGGUGAAGAUGCCGGUUACCUGCGACAGGACGGAAAGACCCCAUGGAGCUUUACUGUAGCUUGACAUUGAGUCUCGGUGCUACAUGUACAGGAUAGGUGGGAGACUAUGAAGCAUGGACGUCAGUCUGUGUGGAGUCAUCCUUGGGAUACCACCCUUGUAGUACUGGGAUUCUAACCAGAGGCCAUGAAUCUGGUCUUGGGACACUGUCAGGUGGACAGUUUGACUGGGGCGGUCGCCUCCCAAAAAGUAACGGAGGCGCUCAAAGGUUCUCUCAGUACGGUCGGAAAUCGUACGAAGAGUGUAAAGGCAAAAGAGAGCUUGAUUGCAAGACAUACAGGUCGAGCAAGGACGAAAGUCGGACUUAGUGAUCCGGUGGUUCCGCAUGGAAGGGCCAUCGCUCAACGGAUAAAAGCUACCCUGGGGAUAACGGGCUGAUCUCCCCCAAGAGUCCACAUCGACGGGGAGGUUUGGCACCUCGAUGUCGGCUCAUCACAUCCUGGGGCUGUAGUAGGUCCCAAGGGUUGGGCUGUUCGCCCAUUAAAGUGGUACGCGAGCUGGGUUCAGAACGUCGUGAGACAGUUCGGUCCCUAUCCGUCGCAGGCGUAGGAAAUUUGAGGAGACCUGUCCUUAGUACGAGAGGACCGGGAUGGACGUACCGCUGGUGUACCAGUUGUUCUGCCAAGGGCAUGGCUGGGUAGCUAAGUACGGAAAGGAUAAGCGCUGGUAGCAUCUAAGCGCGAAGCCCACUUCAAGAUAAGAUUUCCCACCGCAAGGUUAAGAUCCCAGGAAGACUACCUGGUUGAUAGGUCAGAGGUGUAAGUGCAGUAAUGUAUUUAGCUUACUGAUACUAAUAGAUCGAGGACUUGAC
rnacentral:rRNA from 1 species